rnacentral:rRNA from 9 species
ACAACUUUCAGCAACGGAUCUCUUGGCUCUCGCAUCGAUGAAGAACGCAGCGAAAUGCGAUAAGUAAUGUGAAUUGCAGAAUUCAGUGAAUCAUCGAAUCUUUGAACGCACCUUGCGCUCCUUGGUAUUCCGAGGAGCAUGCCUGUUUGAGUGUCAUUAAUAUAU